rnacentral:rRNA from 1 species
CCUACGGGUGGCAGCAGUGGGGGAUAUUGGACAAUGGGCGAAACCCUGAUCCAGCGACGCCGCGUGAGUGAUGAAGUCUUUCGGUAUUUAAAGCUCUAUCUGCAGGGAAGUAAGAAAUGACGGUACCUGUGUUAGAAGCCCCGGCUAACUACGUGCCAGCAGCCGCGGUAAUACGUCGGGGGCAAGCGUUAUCCGGAUUUACUGGGUGUAAAGGGAGCGUAGACGGUAAUGCAAGUCUGGAGUGAAAGGAGGUGGCUCACCCGCCGGACUGCUCUGGAAACUGUGUAACUGGAGUGCAGGAGAGGCAGGCGGAAGUCCUAGUGUAGCGGUGAAAUGCUUAGAUAUUAGGAGGAACACCAGUGGCGAAGGCGGCCUGCUGGACUGUAACUGACGUUGAGGCUCGAAAGCGUGGGGAGCAAACAGGAUUAGAUACCCCGGUAGUC